GGUGGGGUAGCUCAGCCGGUCAGAGCGCGGCACUCAUAAUGCCGAGGUCGAGAGUUCAAGUCUCUCCCCCACUACCA
rnacentral:tRNA from 1 species